CUUCAAAUUGCUAUGACAAUUAAACAAUAAACAAUGAUGAAAUAUUUUUGAAACUUUAUACUACAAUUUAUCUACAAAUUUUUACAAUUUUAUACAUUUUGUAUGAAGAUUUUCUAUUUAAAACCCAUAUUACAAAUUGUGUCGUGACUGAGCACGAUAAGAUAAUAAGAUAACGCUAAUUUCAAAAAGUAGUUAACCGCAUUACUAAUCAGAACGACAGUACAACAAGUUUAAAAAAAUGGGAGUACCGUCGCCCUCACAUGGAUCUGGCUAUGCAACUAAUAUAUAUGGAAUAUUUAAAAUUGUAGAAUUGGCUUUGUUUGUUAUCGUGGGACGCGUAUUUGUCUUGUACUUGGUGCUUCGUUGUGACGUCCUGCUGGUUCAUCGUGAUUUGGUCUCGUGCUGCCCUUUGUGAUGAACUGGAAUGGAAAAGGAAGGCAUUUAUUUUAUUAAGUAUGCUGUUGCUCUCCUAUUUCGGAUGGAGUGGUGAUUUGGGGGAAGCCAGCAUAAUAGGUUGUUUAUUGUUACUUUUGAUAUCACUAACCCUGUUCAUUUUGGGUAUAGCAGAAAGAGGACUUUUUAUUUUGCGAACCUCGUUUAUCCCACUUGUGUGUUGUUUCAUUUAUGCUCUGGUGGUGUCCAGUAUCCAGCUUUCUAAAAGCCACCUGCCAGAUGAAACCAUUGGUGGAGCGGUGUGUUACUUAUUGGCUUCAUUUGUAUACUUGGCAGAUGCAGUAUUAUCGUUUAUAGCAUACAGAUCAACCUAAGAGAAUAUUUUUAUAUUAUUUAUUUGUAAUAAACUUGUCGAAGUAAA